UCAAGGAUGCCUGAGGGGAUUUGAGUCCUACAGGCUCAGCACUUAUGAAAAAGGAUAAAGUCCUUCCCAGCCUGGCAGGAGAAGGAAAAGCCUGUGGUGGGGGAAGGGAGUGAAGGCGUGUGCCUCCUCAUGGAACACAGGGUCGGAGUCGGCUAGGAGGGAUAAGAGUACAAUAGAGGGUUGUGUGACACAGACAGGCUGCCAGCCCUCAGCAUGGACCCGGCACAUGGAAUCUGUGAUCUUAAAAGAGUCAAGUGACUACCUUUGGCAACCAAAAGAGACACUGCCUUUUAGAAGGCAUAUCAUCUGAAACUGGCUGAAAGAGCUGUCUUACUUAGGAAGAAAAAUCUCUCCUUUGGAAAGAGCUGGAACUUUUAGUAAAACUGAACAGUGAGGUGGCGGAAGAUAAAUAUGCUGAGGCAUGUUUUCAAGGAGGGGAGAGAGAUUCCUUUUCCUCAGCCGGGCACAGAGCCAACCUGAAGUGUAGCACUGUGGUGACCUGGCGGGAUCUGCUCUCCAGUCACUCCCGAGGGCCCUUCUGGGGACAAGGAGACUUUUCUGUGCGGCCUGUUGAUUUGAUAGAGAUGAUGUCUUGCCACAUUGCCCAGGCUGGUCUCAAACUCCAGGCCUAAAGGGAUCUUCUGACUUUGGCCUCCCAAAGUGCUGAGAUUAUAGGAUCGAGGCUAUCAAGCUACAGAUGAUCUUACAAAUGGAACCCCAAAUGAGCUCAACUAACAACUACCAAGGACCCCUGGACCAACCCGCUGGCCCUUUCAAUGGCCUAAAGAGUUCCCCUCUGGAGGACACUACAACUGCAGGGUCCUUUCUUUGCCCCUAUCCAGCAGGAAGUAGCUAGAGUGGUCAUCACCCAAUUCCCAACAGCAGUUGGGGUGUCUUGUUAAGUGGGGAGAUUGAGAGGUGAAGCCAGCUGGGCUUCUGGGUUGGGUGGGGACUUGGAGAACUUUUCUGUCUAGCUAGAGGAUUGUAAACACACCAAUCAGUGCUAUGUGUCUAGCUAGAGGUUUGUAAAUGCACCAAUCAGCACUCUGUAAAAACGGACCAAUCAGCACUCUGUAAAAUGGACCAAUCAGUAGGAUGCGGGCAGGGCCAAAUAAGGGAAUAAAAGCUGGCCACCUGAGUCAGCAGUGGCAACCCACUCGGGUCCCCUUCCAUGCUGUGGAAGCUUUGUUCUUUCACUCUUCACAAUAAAUCUUGCUGCUGCUCACUCUUUGGGUCCACACCACCUUUAUGAGCUGCAACACUCACUGCGAAGGUCUUCAGCUUCACUCCUGAAGUCAGCGAGACCACGAACCCAUGGGGAGGAACAAUCGACUUCAGAC